rnacentral:rRNA from 1 species
AUGAGGUCGCAGCUUGACGCCGCCGCCACCGCGUCUUCGCCGCCGGCGUCCGCUCUCCGCCCCUGGCCGCCUCGGGCCCUUCUUAGGGUUUGCGUGUUCCCCGGGCGGUUCCGCGUCAGACGCGGUGACGGGAUCAGGGUUGUCUGCUCGGCUAGCCAUCUUCCCAGCGGCAUCAAACAAGGAGGAGCAAGAGUGUUCAGAUCAGCAAAGAGGACAUGUGAAAAGGAGACCGAGCCUAAUGUGAACACGUCAACCACGUCGGGGGCAGAAAAUCACCUAUAUUUUCCUGUUAAGGGAAACAACAUGGUGAAUAUAGUAAGCAUCACAUUCUGCCUUCUACACAGAGUUGUUAUAGGCCAGAUGCAGUUUAUGAUGAAAUCAUUCCCCAGGAUAUCACAAAAUAUUACAAGUUUGCCAUUUGCUUGCAUAUCUGAUCCUAUUAGAACACCUGUGCCUCUUAAGCUAGAUGUGACUCUUCCACCACCGCCUGAUGUCAGAUGGAGUAUUUCACGCUUGUACUAUCUAUUCAAUACACAGCUUGACCGAAACAUUGCCUUGUCUAUUAUCACUUUGCUCGUCACGUGCUUUUCUAUUGUGUUCGUUGGAGGAUUGCUAUUUCAUAAGUUCAGGAAGAAAGAACAGCCUCUGGAGGACUGCUUAUGGGAAGCUUGGGCAUGUCUAUGUUCAUCAUCUACUCAUCUGAAACAAAGGACACGUAUUGAGCGUCUUAUUGGGUUCUUUCUUGCUAUCUGGGGUAUAUUGUUCUAUUCUCGUUUGUUAAGCGCGAUGACAGAACAAUUUAGAACCCAAAUGCAUAAGGUAAGAGAAGGAGCCCAGUUGCAGGUCCUUGAGGAGGAUCAUAUCGUUAUCUGUGGAGUCAAUAGUCAUCUGACGUCCAUAUUGAAUCAGUUGAAUAAGUUUCAGGAAUCAGCAAUUCGCCUAGGUACUGCUACAGCAAGGAAGCAGAGAAUUCUCCUUCUCUCGGAACUUCCCAGAAAGCAUAUUGAGAAGCUUGGAGAUACCAUAUCUAAAGAUUUAAAUCAUGUUGAUGUAUUCACCAAGAGUUGUAGCCUUAGCUUGACAAAAUCAUUCGAGAGAGCAGCAGCAAACAAAGCAAAGUCUAUAAUCAUCUUACCAUCAAAAAAUGAACGAUAUGAAGUGGAUACAGAUGCAUUUCUUUCUCUGUUGGCUCUCCAGUCUCUUCCACGAAUUGCAUUGGUUCCUACCAUUGUUGAGGCUUCUAACUCGACCACUAUCGAACUUCUGAAAUCAAUCACAGGCUUAAAUGUGCAACCGGUGGAGAUGGUUGCCUCUAAGUUGUUUGUGCAGUGCUCUAGGCAAAAGGGCCUUCUUAAAAUCUACAGACACUUGCUUAAUUCUCGCAAGAAUGUUUUCAACAUUUUCAGCAUUCCUGAAGUAGGAGGCAUGAAGUUUAAGGACGUGAGACGUAAAGUCCAAGAUGCAGUCGUUUGUGGUAUUUUUCGGUCUGGUGGGAUUCACUUCCACCCAGGUGAUGAUGAAGUAUUGAAAGAAACAGAUAAAUUGCUUCUUAUUUCUCCUGUCUGCGGGAGGAGAAAAUCACAGUAUUCAGUUUUAAAUAUAUCUGAACGAACAGAUAGUUCAGUUAGUUACUCAGAACCAAAAGAGGGUCAAAGAUCUUCUAGUGUGGUUACUGAGCUGAAGGAAACGCGGCUAAAGAACAUUGUAGAGCGGCCGUCAAAAUCAUUCUCUAAGAGCAGCGAAUGUACACUGGGACCAAGGGAAUGCAUACUUAUUGUUGGUUGGAGGCCAAAAGUUACUGAUAUGAUUCGAGAAUAUGAUAAUUACCUUGGACCUGGUAGUGUAUUGGAAAUAUUGUCAGAAACCCCUAUUACAGAGCGGACGAGUGUUGUCAACCCCCUUAUGCAGAGCCAACUUAAAAAUAUUAAAGUUACUCAUAAGGUGGGAUGUCCUAUGAACUAUGAUACUUUAAAGGAAGCGAUUAUUAACAUUAGGAAAUCUGCCAAGUGUGACAAAAAUGUUCCUCUUUCAGUCGUGGUGAUAUCCGAUAGAGACUGGCUCAUUGGAGAUACUGUACAGGCUGAUAAGCAAUUGGCAUAUACCCUUCUCCUUGCUGAAAAUAUUUGCCACAAAAAUGACAUUAAGGUUCAACAUCUUGUAUCAGAAAUUGUAGACACGGGGCUGGGAAAGCAAAUAACUAGAAUAAGACCCUCCCUUUCAUUUAUUGGAGCAGAGGAAGUUAUGAGUCUUGUGACGGCACAAGUUGCGGAAUGUAGUGAGCUGAAUGAAGUAUGGAAGGAUAUUCUGGAUGCUGAGGGAGAUGAGAUUUAUAUUAAGGAAGUAGGACUGUACAUGAAGGAAGGAGAGAAAAUAUCAUUCACUGAGCUGUCUGAAAGGGCAGUUUUGCGUCGUGAAGUUGCCAUUGGUUAUUUUAAGGACCAGAAGCAGCAUAUAAAUCCUACGAACAAGUUGCAGCCACUUUCUCUUGAAAUGACGGAUUCACUCAUCGUGAUAUCAGAGUUUGAAGGUGAACAACCAAUUGUGAGGGGCAGCAAAACUUCGGCAUGA